rnacentral:sRNA from 1 species
CAAUAGCCCUGAUGGAAGCGGCAUCUCCCGAAAUAGAAAAACAAGGCUUUUUCAGCCGUAGUUUUUAUUAAUCGGGAAUAAAGCGGACAGCGGGAAAGAGC